CCUACGGGAGGCUGCAGUGAGGAAUAUUGGUCAAUGGACGAGAGUCUGAACCAGCCAAGUAGCGUGAAGGAUGACUGCCCUAUGGGUUGUAAACUUCUUUUAUAUGGGAAUAAAACGUUCCACGUGUGGGAUUUUGUAUGUACCAUAUGAAUAAGGAUCGGCUAACUCCGUGCCAGCAGCCGCGGUAAUACGGAGGAUCCGAGCGUUAUCCGGAUUUAUUGGGUUUAAAGGGAGCGUAGGUGGAUUGUUAAGUCAGUUGUGAAAGUUUGCGGCUCAACCGUAAAAUUGCAGUUGAAACUGGCAGUCUUGAGUACAGUAGAGGUGGGCGGAAUGCGUGGUGUAGCGGUGAAAUGCUUAGAUAGAACGAAGAACUCCGAUGGCGAAGGCAGUUCACUGGACUGCAACUGACACUGAGGCUCGAAAGUGUGGGUAUCAAACAGGAUUAGAUACCCUUGUAGUC
rnacentral:rRNA from 1 species